AAGAGCUGUGGAGACUCGGCCUCGGGGUUGCUGGGAGGCUGGCGCUCGCGAGACGGUGACGUCUUCGUCGAGUGCGGUGCUUGGGCUUUUGGUGGACUGACCGGUAGUCGGACGAUCUUUAGGCUCACCAUGGAUGAAGCUGUGCCAGGCCCCGCACCUGAAGGUGCAGACAGCCGUGUGACAGUGAAGGAGGAGGACUCCCCCUGGGAGCAGGUGUGCAGCUCUUGGGAAAGCAGCUGCCACGCCCAGGAGCUGUGCCGCCUGCGCUUCCGGCAGUUCUCCUACCGGGAUGUGACUGGGCCCCGCCAGGCUCUGGCCCAACUCCACGAACUCUGCCGCCAGUGGCUGCGGCCCGAGACCCACAGCAAGGAGCAGAUCCUGGAGCUGCUGGUGCUGGAGCAGUUCCUGACUGUCCUGCCCGCGGAGCUCCAGGCCUGGGUGCAGGAGCACCAUCCGGAGAGCGGGGACGAGGUGGUGACGGCGCUGGAGGAUCUGGAGAAAGACACAGGACAGCAGGCUUCUGUCUAUACUCGGGGACAGGACAUGCACUCGCUGGUGACAGAGUAUCAGGGAGCCUCUUCAGAAUGUCAGAGCCUCCAGCUCCUGCCCAGGGUAACUGCCUUGAAGUGUGAACCUCCAGAGCUCUGCCAAGAGAACCCCGGAGAAGUGAGUGCGGAAGAAGCUGUAAGUAAAGAUGGAUUGUUUAAUGCAAAGCAAGAAACUUUUGAAGAGAUACAGCAAGGUGCUGAGGCCUCAGGAGCACCCAACAGAGAUUGUAUGCUCCAGCCACCUGGUACCUCAAUCUGUACUGACAGGACAGUUGUACAUAUGAACACCCUGAAGGACCGUCACCCAGGUGACUUGUGGGCCCGAAUGCACAUCUCCUCCUUGGAAUAUGCUGCAGGAGACAUUACCCGAAAAGGGAGAAAAAAGGACAAAGCUCGAGUGAGUGAACUGCUCCAAGGCCUUGCAUUUUCUGGUGACUCAGAUGUAGAAGAAGAGAACAAGCCUGAGGCCCACCCUGCUCCAAAAAGGCUAAAGAUAUCAAACGUCCCAGAGAAGAAUUGGACCAAAAGAGAUCUUAAACCCAACUUUCCAAGCUGGUCAGCACUGGAUUCUGGACUUUUGAAUCUCAAAAGUGAAAAGUUGAACCCAGUAGAACUCUUUGAAUUAUUUUUUGAUGACGAAACAUUCAGCUUGAUUGUCAAUGAAACCAAUAAUUAUGCAUCUCAGAAAAAUGUCAACUUGGAAGUCACAGUUCAGGAAAUAAGGUGUCUGUUUGGGAUCUUGCUUUUGAGUGGAUUUGUGAGGCGUCCCAGAAGGGGAAUGUAUUGGGAAAUCUCGGAUACCGAUCAGAACCUAGUCAAGGAUGCAAUUAGAAGGGACAGAUUUGAAUUGAUUUUCUCAUACCUACAUUUUGCAGAUAACAACCACCUAGAUCAAAAAGAUAAGUUUACAAAGUUGAGGCCUCUCAUAAAGCAAAUGAAUAGAAAUUUCCUCCUCUAUGCUCCCCUUGAAGAACACUAUUAUUUUGAUAAGACAAUGUGUGAAUGCUUUGAUAGUGACCAAUUCCUGAAUGGGAAACCUAUUAGAAUUGGCUAUAAAAUUUGGUGUGGCACAACCACACAGGGUUAUCUGGUUUGGUUUGAGCCCCAUCAAGAAGAAUCAUCUGUGAUGGUGGAUAAGGAUCUUAACCUUGGUUUAGGUGGAAAUCUAGUGAUGCAUUUUGCUGAUGUCCUUUUAGAGAGAGGCCAAUAUCCCUAUCACCUGUGUUUUGAUAGCUUCUUUACAAGUGUCAAAUUGGUUUCAGCCUUGAAGAAGAAAGGCGUGAGGGCAACAGGAACAAUUCGUGAGAACAGGACUGAAAAAUGUCCCCUUAUGAAUGUAGAACAUAUGAAAAAAAUGAAGAAGGGGUAUUUCGAUUUCCAAGUCGAAGAAAAGGAGGAGAUAAUUUUGUGUCGUUGGCAUGGAGAUGGCAUCAUCAGUCUGUGCUCCAAUGCCGUAGGCAUAGAACCGGCCAGUGAGCUAAGUUGUUGUGCCGAUGAUGAGGAGAUCCAUCAGAUAGCUCAACCGUCUAUAGUGAAAUUGUAUGAUGAAUGCAAGGAAGGUGUAGCUAAAAUGGAUGAAAUCAUUUCCAAAUACAGGGUGAGAAUAAGAAGCAAAAAAUGGUACUCAAUUUUAGUGAGCUACAUAAUUGAUGUAGCCAUGAACAAUGCAUGGCAGCUACACAGAGCCUGUAACCCAGAUACCUCUCUAGACCUCUUGGAUUUUCGGAGAUAUGUUGCACAUUUCUACUUGGAGAACAAUGCUAAUCUAUCAGAUUAAGGCAGAUAAAAUGCGCAUAAUGCUAGUAUUAACAAGAUAAAAUCACAGGUAUAUAUCAGAUUGUACCCUUCCAAAGCAAACCUGAUGUAAAGUUUCAAAGAAGUAAUUUAAAAAAUUGUAUUGACUGAGUGCUACACCUUUUUCUAUGACUAAUUUUGGUGUGAAACAUGUGGGAAAUAACUUGGAUUAAUUUGUGCAUUGAAAGAAGGAAAUUGUGUCUCUUUAA